rnacentral:lncRNA from 1 species
UUUUCUUUUUUCUUUUUUUUUUUUUUCUUUUUUUGAGUCACUGUUGUGCUUGACUAUUGGUAAUGUUCCAGGCCAUCUGUCUACCUCGCCUGGCCAUAGAUAGUGACAUCAGAGAUUUUUCUGCCCACAGAGGUCACACUUACAGACGGAAGAAGGUCAGCUAUUACAGAGCAGGCUCUGAGGAAAUGUUGGAUGUAGAUCUGUGUAGGAAAGUUUCCAAGAUACAGACUUUUGAAGGGGACCUGAACAAAGUCAUGGAAAUGAGCACAAUGAAAGCCAGGAGAGGUGCAUCAAUGGCUAUAAGAGAAGCAUCUCAGGACCUCUACCUAGAGUAAUGAGCAGAUGCCACAUGUUUGGACCCUGUUUGGCCUCUGUACUUGUGGCUCUGUAUUUAUUUGUAUUUCAUGAGUGGGAGCCAUAUUCACUCAUCUGUUAUUUUUAUACAAUUUUAUGAUGAAACCCAUUAUUGUUUCAAAAUCCUACCCUUAAUAACACCAUUAUGAUGCUAACCUUGAUGUUUGUAACUAAAGGUCCCUUUUGUCAGUAAAUAAAGCUUCUAACAGUGCUGAAGCAAGUUAAUGUGUGAGUGUGAGUGACUUGCUUGUUCCCUUAGGCACAUGUUAAUCUCACAAGAUGAAAUACAACAAUGAUUAAACCCAAGAUACAGGCUGCUGGGGGCACAAUUCAAAGAGCCGACUAUCAAUUAUCAGGAAGAUAUUUUUAUAGCCUGAGUCCUCCCAUGACAUUCAUCCACCCUCACAACUAAAACUCUCCUGACCUGUAAGGAAAGCUGGUUUCAUCAGAAAGAAUUCAAUGCUACACUUACGCUACUAGAUAGGUUGUGUUAGGAUAGCAUAUUGCAUUUGUCCAGUGUUUUAGAUAGGAAAUCUCUAGGUUAGUCCACAAAUUAUAAAAUUUGUGGAAUAUUCUGCUCAACUCUUAGUUACAUUUUCUUUGACUCAACUCCUCACCUCAAGUAUAGCCCUUGGUAGGUGGAGUAUAGGUCAAAGCAAUAUUUGUUUCACCAAGUCAUCUCAGUUGAAUUCCAGCAGAGUUUAGUAUAUCAUUCAUUUUAUUUCAGUCAUAGAGUAUUGUAUUUUAUAUUAAUACGUGUUCCAUGUAAAAAAUGCUCAAUUUUAAAAUAUUAACUAUUUAGGAUUAAUAUUUUUAAUAUCAGAUUCAUAACCUAUUCAGUAUAUUCCAUAUAUCCUCACAUAUUAUACAAUUUCUGUUUAAGUUAUUAAUGAUUAAUGAAUGAUUCAAGCAAUCAAUAUAAAUAGGAAUUGUACUGUUUUACUGUCAUACUAAUAUCAGAAAUUACAGGUUAUUGAAUCCUGAAUAUCCCCACUUUAAAUGCUUCCUAACUUAUUUAAUAUUUUUUGGUAUUUCUUUUGAUUUUUUCCUCACCAAUAAUCUUACUGUUUGCUACCAUUUUGGCUUAUGCCAUUUUCAUGGUACUAGACUUUAUGAACUGUGCUAUAUGGAAAUUGUUUUGGAUGCCAUUUGUUGAUAAUGACUACUUUCUAAUUGUGGCGCAGUUUAAAGCAAUAUGUAUGACCUUACUCCUGUUGAAGCACAAUGGCCUAAUAAUAUACACAUAGUUUCUAUUGAAAAUGUCUCCAGCAGAUAUGAAUACUGGAGCAUGUAUUUUGUCCUAGCGUGGUAACGCUUGCUAUGAACAUACCCUGGGGAAAAAAAAAGCAAAUUCCAGAGACAAAGGUUUCAUUUGACUUGCAAUUUGAGGUUAUAUGGUUAUAGUCUAUCAUAUUGGGGAAGCCAAGAUGGUCAGAACUUCUGACAGCUAGUCAUAUUUACAUUCUAGAUUAGGGAAUGCACACAUGCCUACAAGGGCUCAGCUCACUCUAGAGUUUUAUGUAUUCCACAACACAAACGCAUGGAAUAGUGCUGCCCACUUUGAGGUUGAGUAUCCCCUCAUCAGUUAAUGUCUUCAUGACAACCCUAUACAUACAUACACAGAAAACACCCAGAAGAGUCAGGACAACAUAAUCUAGGAAAUCCUUCAUUGAGACUCUUUUCUGGGGUGAUUUUGAUUAUGUUUUUCUGAUUUUUCUGGGUAUUCUCUGUGUCAAUUUGAUGGUACUUACAGAUUAGAUUUUUCAAAUUGACACAUACUAGAGUCACCUGGAAAAAGGAAACCCCAAUAGAUGAAUUAUUUAUAUUGUAUUUAUUUGUGCCCAAUUUGUAAUGUCUUCCUUUUAAAUUUCUAGUUGCUAUAGGAGGGUCUAUCCCCUGUGGGUGGUGUCAUACUUACACAGGUAGGCCUAGACUGUGAGAAGGCUAUCUGAGCCAUCCAUGAGAGUCAAACAGUAAAGAACAUUCCUCCAUUCUCUCAGCUUCAGUCUUGUCUCUGUAUAUAUGCCAUAGGUUCUCAGGAUAAUGAAAUAAUACCUAUAAGAUAAAAUAAAAACUUUCUUCCAUAUGUCGCGUUUGGCCAUGGCUGUAUACCAGCAAUAGAAAUCUAUUUGCUACAGACAUGAUUUGUAUAAUCUAGUCUUCAUGGGAAACACUGAGGCACGGUUACACUGUCUCAAAAUCUUCUAUGUAAAGAUCAGGAAGCUGGCUAGUCAUUUCCAGUUCUACAACUUAUCUAAGUCAUUAGCUAAAAGCUGUUCUUCAGGGCAUCAACUCCUUAGCACUUCUAGCCUGCCACAUGGAGAUCAAGAGAAAACUUUCACAUAGAGAUUUGCGUAGGCGUGCAAUAGAAAAGUGCAGGCAGCUUUUGAAAUGGCAUGCCCCAAAUAAACAUGGAUUUGGCAAUAACAUAUGGUACAAUUGUACACAGAUAAAGGGAACUAGCUAUGGUAGUGACUCGGUGCUUUGAUUACCCCUUAUUUAAGUGCAGAUGUUCUUUGUGGCUAAUUAUUUCAAAUGGUC